rnacentral:lncRNA from 1 species
GCCGACUUUCGGGGUUACAUGAAAACCUGCUACCAUCAAUCAUGUGAUGACAUGAGUCAGGUCACGGACAAGAGGAUCCAGUUCGUCUGGAAGACGACCCAGGCUGUCAUUGACACUGUGGGCAAACUGGCGCCAGCAUCAAGUGCAGGAGUACACCGUCUGGAUGUGUCUAUGCUUGGAGUUCUCGUGGGGAUAAUCCUGUGGAUCAACACUGCCUUUACUGUAUAGUCCCUAUGUAACCAGUUGCCCGCGCAUUGCUGACGGGACAGGCUGAAGGUUACAUUCGCCAACAUUAAAAUGUUACCGACCGAUCAUUAAAAGAGACCCUACCCUUAUUUUGUUCAAUUUGCCUGCUUAUUUCUGUUCCACUUUUCCUAUUUUCGGAGUUCGUUGUCUUCUUUAAUGUGUACAUUGUUAGUAUCCCUUCAUGGCGAUCAAAAAUGACGUUCGUGAAUUUUGCCUAAAAGGGAAUACUAUUAUAUAGUAAUGAACACACUCCGUACCACUUUAUUGUUUGUUUUAAGUGAAUUAAAUGAAAUCGUUGUGCGAUGAAGAAUAUAAUGGACAAGAUCAAUAUUCAGAAUGACAAAGGCUAUAUUUGCCACAAAAAAACAAAACGAAACAAAAACAAAACAAUACAAAUGACAUUUUUGAGAUCGACUGACAAAGUAUUUAAAGAAAAGUUAAUAACUGCUGAAAUUAACAACAACCUCUGUUUCAUAUUUAGAUCUAUGCAUAAAGAUUCUGAGUGACAAAACACUCUCAAAAAGAUUUCAACUUUCCAACAGUCAAUAUGUCGAACAAUAUUGUUGCAGCUCCCGCCCUUGUUGUCUACAUUUCACAAUUUUUUAGGUACAAUCGUACUUACUCUUUCUGCCAAGAUUUGUAAAAGCGUCAUUAGACUCGAAAGCUGUCAGAUCAAGGUAACAACAUUCAAGGCCACAGUAAAACUUUCAAAAAGGAUUUAUCUUAGUAAUGUGGAGGGAGGUGGGGUAGCCUGGUGGUUUAAGUGUUCGCUCGUCACGCUGAAGUUCCGGGUUUGAUUCCCCUCAUGGGCACAGUAUGUUACACCCCUGCCGUGAUAUUGCUUGCUAGAAUAUCGCUAAAAGCAGCGUAAAACAUUACUCACACACUAGUGAUGUGGAGGGCUUUAUGUCGCAUCAGUGACACUAAUUUUUUUAUUUAUUUUUUUAAUUGUUCCUGGUAAAAGUACAUCAUGUUUUGGUAAGAGUCAAAAUACAUGACCAGGAUUUUUUAAGAAAGUACAUAUCAUUCACACACAUCCAUACACACAUUCACACUCACUAGAAGCUUUAGUAUUUAUGAAGACAGAAUGCAGGAUAUAUAUUUAGUAAAGUUUUGGAAUAGCAAAUGUUUAUAUUUUCAAAAGGUUUUCAUAAGGAGCCCAUUUCAUAUAUAAUUCAGUCUGUUUGGCUGUAUUAAGGUGUCUAUAUUUUUCUAUUUGGUAAUAAUAUUUCACCUCAUUUUGGAAAUGUGUAAUGGUUGGUUGGUUAUUUUUCAUUUUGCAUCUAUAAAUGUGAAAUUUGGCCAAUAAGAGUAUCAGAUAAAAAAUAUCAUCGGUAUGGAAAUGUUUUGAAAAGCCAAAAAGAAUUAAGUCUGAAGUAAGAUUUAUCUUACCAGCAUGUGGACACUUGGAUUCAAUCCAUUGUGAAAAUCUUUUCCAGAAGUUUUUGCUUACCCUACAGUCCCAAAACAGAUGUUGGAUAGAUUCUGGCUCAGCAUUACAGAAAGUACAUAGACAGUUGUCAACAAUAUGCAUCUUGAGUAAAUAAGUAUUAACAAGUAGAAUUCCGUGGAGCAAUCUAAGCUGAAAGCAUCUAAGUUUAGGGUCUGGAGUAGUUUUGUGUGCUCUGAUAAAUAAGCUAGGCCAGUUCAUAUCCAUUAAAAGUUCCUCUUCCCAUUUGUCAAUAACUUUUAAGCUUUCAUCGGUUUAGUUAUAUUUCUUUGAGCCUUUUUUACAUGAAAAGAGAUUGGCAAUAGAUAUAUUUGUAUUGUUUGUUGUUUCCAGAUGCAGGUCUUUAUUAAUGCCUAAUUGUAUCAUGUAUGUAUUUACUGACCAUAAAAUUCAAGAAAAUUUAUAUUGAAGUAUUUAUUACAGAAUUGUUGCAAUGUCAUAACAUUUCCAUCAUUGUUUAGCAAGCAAUGUAUGCUGUGUAUGUUAUUGAGAUUAAAGGUUUUGUUAUCUAAUGAUUUGCCAUUUAUAAUAAUAUUUUUAUUGUAUAGCAGAGGUUCCCUUAGGAACUCUUCAUAAUUAUUGGGUUUUAUUUUAUUGCUAUAUUUAGAAAAGGCAGUAAAACAAUCUUUCGAAAUUUUUUUAAUUUUUUUAUAGCAAGUUUAAGUGGAAAAUCGCUUCCCAUAAAUAGUAAAUCAGGAAAUUCAGGAGUAGUAUUAGUCAUUAAACUUUUCCAUUUCUUUUCCAAAUCAACAUUUAGUAGCUUUUUUAUCCAGAUUAUUUUCAAAGCGUCAACAUAUGCAAAAAUAUCUAUCAUACCAAGUCCUCCAAGGGAAAUAGGUUUACAAGCAACUGUUCUCUUUAUUUUGUCUGGUUUAUUAUCCCAUAAAAACUUGAAAAGAAUAGUAUUUAUAAUUAUCUUUCUAAGGAAUUCAUCUGGGGGACUAGGGAGGGUAAGGAAAAGGAAAUUAAGUUUUGAAAUGAGCAUUGAUUUGAUAAUUGCAAUUUUGCCUAAUGGGGUUAUAAUUCUUUUCAUCCAUCUCUUGAUGGUUUGUUCAAUUUCAAAGAUUUUGCUUUCAUAGUUUAGUUUAAUCAUUUUAUCUCGAUUAGUAGAAAAAAUUAUGCCUAGAAUUCUAAAGGUUUCAGGGUUCCAUUCAAGGUUUAAGUCUUGUCGAAAUUUGAUAUUACUAUUUUUCUUGGAGCCUAUCCAGAUUAUUUGAGUUUAAACAAAAUUUAUUCUUAAUCCAGAGAUAUUUGCAAAGAUAUCAAGAGUGUCUAUGGUAGCCUCGAAGGAUCUCUUAGAACCGUCCAAAAGAAAUUCUAUAUCAUCUGCAUAUUGCGCAAUUAAAUAAUCUUUACCGUUUAUAGUUAGGCCCUGAAUGUCUUUAUUUUUUUCACAAGAAUUGCGAGAAUUUCUGCACAAAGCAGAAAAAUAUAAGGAGAUAAUGGACCCCCCUGCCUACAGCCACGGCCGACUGGUAUCCAAGGUGACAUAUUUCCAUUUAUAAUUAGGCUAGACCUGAUAUCUUUAUAGAGUAUAGAUAUUCAUUUAGAAAUACUUUCGCCAAAUCCAAAAAAAAUCAGGGUUUUAAAGAUAAAAGACCAGGAGACAGAGUCAAAUGCUUUCUCAAAAUCAACUAGAAGUAGCAUACCAGGCAUUUGUUUAGAUUCUGUGUAUAAGAGUAGAUCAUAUAUCAGGCGGAUGUUGUCUCCGAUAUAUCUUCCAGACAUGAAACCAGUUUGGUCUUCACUGAUUAUCUGAGGCAAUACUUUUAAAAAUCUAUCUGCAAUCACAGAAGAUAAAAGUUUAUAUAUGGAGUUCAGUGACAAUAAUGAUGUCUGGUGCAAUUCCCUAUUUUGACUUGUACCAUAUGUUCCGUGUUAUUUCAGAUGAACAAUUGACUUGCCUGUGCACAUAUUUGUGACGGGUGUCAACGGUGGGGCAGGUUACGCUCACCUUUUAGCAAACACAUGGCACCAUCCGGCUAAAAGGAAAAUAUGACAGGGUUUUGUCGCUCUUAAUCAUAAGUUACUCGGAAAAGGUAUGUAUGGUGAGAUAGGUACACCACUAAGAAGUAUAUAUGGAAACGUAAAAUCAGUAGUAGCCUUCAGAUGCAAUACACUUUCAGGUGUAAGACAGGGAUGUUCACUAUACAGCUAUCACCACUUCUUUUUAUCUUUUACAUUGAUGAAUUUGGGGAUGAUAUCGUGAACACUGAUUACAGUUGCGUUAUCGUAGAUGAAGAUGUACAGGCAUAAUCGUUUAGACUUUUUGCUGAUGAUGUUGCAAUAACUGCAGAUCGCGUUUUUAAUUUGCAGACAACGAGGGAUGUUUCAUUUCAAUACUGUGCUGAAUGGGGAGGGUAUCGGUAAAUACUGUUACGACAAAAGUUGUUGUUUUCAAGAGAGGUUGAAAGAUAUAUAAACAUGGGAAUGGUUUCUCGGUUCAGAAAGACUUGAAGUAAUAUAUAACAAAUAAAAUAUCUUUAUUUAACAAUUCAUGUCGAAACCUAAUUACAUGUGCAUGUAAAGUACUUUAAGUGCAAGCAGAUAAUUCAAUGCAUUUAUCUAAGCAGUUUCUUAGUAAAUUCAGAAAUACACCCGUUGAUAACAAUUAUAAUAUUUUUAUCUUUUCAUAUGUGUAUAUCUAAUAUACAAAUGGUGUUCCACAAAUUGUCCUGCAACAAAAUGGCAUUGUUUUAUUGGUCUCAUGGCCACAUUUACGAAAUAAAUAUGUCUGUCUAA